AAUCGACGACAUCAGCUGCUCCAUAAGUUCCCACACGAAUUGCUUGAUUCAUGCGUUUGUAAAAGCGCAGAGCUAACUAUUCGAGUCGAAUAAUUAGCUCUGGUCUUUUUCAGAACCGUUCUUUAAAAAUUUGGGUAUGUGAUAGAAAGAUAGACUGAACGUUACUUUCACUGGUAACGGAUCAGGCUAAGGUAAAAUUUGUGAGUUCUCUUAAUUGAGAAAUUCGAAUUUUCGGCGAAUGUCGUCUUCACAGUAUAACCARAUUGCUUGGGGUUAUAU
rnacentral:misc_RNA from 1 species